rnacentral:rRNA from 1 species
AUGCUUGUCUCCAUCAAGAAGGAGAGGGAAGACUGGUUGGAGGAGCGUCCUGCUACAAGUUCAGCAAAAUCUGAGAAAGCUUGGUCAAGUCUUUGGAAGAUUAAGGUGCCGGCCAGGGUUAAGACCUUUGCGUGGAGACUUGCACAGAAUUCUUUACCUAGUGGGGAUGUGCUCAAACACAGGAAUAUGGCCAAGACUGUUGCGUGUGCUAUUUGCCACGACGCAUACGAUAACUGCACCAUGGCGAGGUGUGUGUGGAGCUUGUGUGAUCGACAACUGACACAACAUGUGUGUAUGCCCGAGUGCCCGGAUGCACGUGAGUGGCUUUUUCAUCUUAUGGAGACGACGUCCCAUGAGGAGUUCAUUGAGAUCUUGCUGAUGUUGUGGGCUAUUUGGACAGCUAGAAGAAAGGCCAUUCUUGAAUCGAUCUAUCAAAGCCCAGUCACUGUAAGAGGCUUUGUUACAAAUCUGUUGGGUGAACUACAGCUUAUUACUGAUCAUAAGGAGAAGGCCAAGCCGAUGGGGAAACAGUCGCCGGGCUUGAACAAGCGCUAGAUAACACCACCGGUUGACUUCAUGAAGCUAAAUGUCGAUGGGGGUGCGAAAGUACAGAACAAAGGAGCAGCAACGGUGGUAUGUCGAAAUGCAGAUGGAGUGUACCAAGUAUCGCCAGCUCGUGUUUAUGAUGAUAUAACAGAUCCUCCGAUGCUUGAGGCUCUUGCUUGCUGCGAAGCUAUGGCCCUAGCUAAAGACCUCAACAUUCAAAAGUUGCGGAUUGCAUCUGAUGCUUCUGUUGUGAUCAAGGCGAUAAAUGUAGGGAGCCGAUGCAGCUAUAGUUCGGUGCUGAAGGAGAUUGAGCACAGGCGGUGGGACUUCCAGGUUGUGGAAUUUGUCCAUGAAGGCAGAGAGUUCAAUACACAUGUGCAUAACCUCGUUUAG